rnacentral:misc_RNA from 1 species
GCGUUUAAGACCAUUUGGUGUAAAAAUCAUUGCCACAAAACGGAGUUGGAAAUCACAUUUACAUGUUUCUGAUCAACCAAAUGGGCUCCCCAUUCAGGAUGGUGUCAUUGAUGAUUUGGUUGAUGAAAAGGGUAGUCAUGGAGAUAUUUAUGAGUUUGCUAGCAAUGCUGAUAUAGUUGUAUGUUGCUUGAGUAUGAAUAAAGAGACAGAAGGUAUUGUAAACAAAUCAUUCAUAUCGUCAAUGAGAAAGGGUGCCCUUUUGAUAAAUAUUGCUCGAGGGGGUCUCCUAGACUAUGAGGCUGUUUUGCAGUACCUUAAGUCUGGUCACUUGGGAGGCUUAGGCAUUGAUGUUGCUUGGACUGAGCCAUUUGAUCCAGAUGAUCCAAUUCUAAAGUUCGACAAUGUUCUAAUCACUCCUCAUGUUGCAGGUGUAACAGAACAUUCUUAUAGAUCCAUGGCUAAGGUUGUUGGAGAUGUCGCCCUCCAACUUCAUGCAGGUACCCCUUGGACAGGCAUAGAGACUGUGAACUGAUUCACUAGAUAGCCUUUACGAUUUGGAUCUUCAUUAAAUGAUCAGUGGAUUCAAUCUUCAAUGUUAAGGCCCUUCUGAGAUGUGCGCUUUGUAAUGCUUCAUAGGUAGGUCAACUAUGGCCAGUGAUUUUCAUGCAUUAAACCGUACUUAAUGACAUGGUUGGAUUUGGUGUUUAUGUUGUCUGUGAUGUUUAGAGAUGAGCAAUUUCAUUGUAAAAUUCUCUUCCCCCCC